AGGGUUAUAGUUAAAAAUAACAUUUGGUUUGCAACCAAAAAGUAUUGGAUUACCAAUUAACCUUA
rnacentral:tRNA from 1 species